rnacentral:ncRNA from 1 species
AUACAGGCAAUGCGAGAAAGAGUAGGCUAUGAAAUCUUUUUAAAGCGAGCUAGGAAAUGGUGUAAGCCUAGUAAAAGAACUUAGUUGAAGAUCAUUCUCAAGCUUCCUAUUUGAACACAUCUGUAAGUAAAUUAGGACGGUAGCAUCCCGUUAUGAUGAAGAGUGAGUAAUAUAUUAUUUAUUAAGUAUUGCUAACUAGGGUGGUAACGCGAGUUCUCUCGUCCCUUUU